rnacentral:rRNA from 1 species
CCUACGGGAGGCAGCAGUGAGGAAUAUUGGUCAAUGGGCUUACGCCUGAACCAGCCAAGUCGCGUGAGGGAAGACUGCCCUAUGGGUUGUAAACCUCUUUUGUCAGGGAGCAACGCCGGCUACGUGUAGCCGGACUGAGAAUACCUGAAGAAAAAGCAUCGGCUAACUCGGUGCCAGCAGCCGCGGUAAUACGGAGGAUGCGAGCGUUAUCCGGAUUUAUUGGGUUUAAAGGGUGCGUAGGCGGAAUGCCAAGUCAGCGGUAAAAUCGCGGGGCUCAACCUCGCUCCGCCGUUGAAACUGGCGGUCUUGAGUGGGCGAGAAGUAUGCGGAAUGCGUGGUGUAGCGGUGAAAUGCAUAGAUAUCACGAAGAACUCCGAUUGCGAAGGCAGCAUACCGGCGCGCAACUGACGCUCAUGCACGAAAGCGUGGGUAUCGAACAGGAUUAGAUACCCGGGUAGUC